rnacentral:rRNA from 1 species
CAGUCGCCACGGUAAUACGUAGGGUGCAAGCGUUAAUCGGAAUUACUGGGCGUAAAGCGUGCGCAGGCGGUUUGUUAAGACAGAUGUGAAAUGCCCGGGCUCAACCUGGGAACUGCAUUUGUGACUGGCAAGCUAGAGUGUGUCAGAGGAUGGUGGAAUUCCCGGUGUAGCGGUGAAAUGCGUAGAGAUCGGGAGGAACAUCAGUGGCGAAGGCGGCCAUCUGGGACAACACUGACGCUGAGGCACGAAAGCGUGGGGAGCAAACAGGAUUAGAUACCCCCGUAGUCCCUGUCUCUUAUAC